rnacentral:lncRNA from 1 species
GUAGUCUGCGCGGGGACUGGCGGGACUGCGCGGAGGCGACUACAGGCAUGGCGGUCUGGGUCCUGUCGCGCCUGCUGAGCGCUCCGCGCCUGGCGCUGGCCAAGGCGGUCCUGAGGCACGUGAAUGGCCAGGAUCAGAUUGUGCCCGGCCUGUACGCCUGUGGGGAGGCCGCCUGUGCCUCGGUACAUGGUGCCAAUCGGCUCGGGGCAAACUCGCUCUUGGACUUGGUUGUCUUUGGUCAGGCAUGUGCCCUGAGCAUCGAAGAGUCAUGCAGGCCUGGAGAUAAAGUCCCUCCAAUUAAACCAAACGCUGGGGAAGAAUCUGUCAUGAAUCUUGACAAAUUGAGAUUUGCUGAUGGAAGCAUAAGAACAUGAGAACUGCGACUCAGCAUGCAGAAGUGCCGCUGGGUUAGGGUCUCCACAACCGAGCUGGUCUCAGCAAGUGGCGCCCACACAUGGGGGCUCGAAUCCAGGUCGAAGGGUCACCGGAGCGACAGAAAACUUGGAACUAAGCUGGAGGACACCGAGUACUCUUAUGCAGUCCCCAUGGACUGAACCAUCAAGACACCUGAAACCUUAUCAUGAGCGAAUGCUGAGGAAGAGAUUCCGGGAGGAUCCCGAGGACCCCCCCAGUUGCAGCCAUGUCAAGACUGAUGCUGAGGAGGACCCCAACUGUCACGAGCAACACCCGUCAAACACAGCCAUCCACCUGAGGUCAGAUCAAGAAGCUGUCACAGAUGGCAGAAGAAAACCUGAGGAAUGGUCUGGAACACGGACCUGGUGGAGACCCUGGAGCUGCAGAACCUGAUGCUGUGUGCGCUGCAGACCAUCUACGGAGCAGAGGCGCGGAAGGAGUCACGGGGCACGCACGCCAGGGAAGGCUACAAGGUGCAGAUUGAUGAGUACGAUUACUCCAAGCCCAUCCAGGGGCAACAGAAGAAGCCCUUUGAGGAGCACUGGAGGAAGCACACCCUGUCCUAUGUGGACGUUGGCACUGGGAAGACCCGUAAUCGACAAAACUUUGAACGAGGCUGACUGUGCCACCGUCCCCCCAGCCAUUCGCUCCUACUGAUGAGACAAGAUGCGGUGAUGACAGAAUCAGCUUUUGUAAUUAUGUAUAAUAGCUCAUGCAUGUGUCCAUGUCAUAACUGUCUUCAUACGCUUCUGCACUCCGGGGAAGAAGGAGUACAUUGAAGGGAGAUUGGCACCCAGGCUGGGAGCUUGCCAGGAACCCAGUGGCCAGGGAGCGUGGCACUUACCUUUGUCCCUUGCUUCAUUCUUGUGAGAUGAUAAAACUGGGCACAGCUCUUAAAUAAAAUAUAAAUGAACAAAC